rnacentral:lncRNA from 1 species
CCGCGCCCCAUUUGCCCCCAUCGCCUAAUCGAACUAUUGUGCCCUUGGACUGAAUAUCGUGAUCAGCCGAUGUCUUUGACCGCAUCAGCGACGGCGCACAGGUCGGCGGCUGUUGCAAUGGGUGCAACGUGUGCGGCCAUGUAUGCGCACAGGCGACCAAAGAUUCAGAUCGGGUUCUCGCUCAGGCCGAUCGUAGUGCACGCUCCACGAUCAGCGGGCAAAUUAGCCAAAGCACCGGGCGUAAGCACGACGCCGCCGAGGCGCUCGCAAAAGGCGGCGCACGCUGGCCAAGAACGGCACCGGCCAGGACCUCGAACGCCCCAUUGACAAAGAGGUCCCAGUCGGCGGCGACUGCCCAACGACUCGUUCCAGUACCGGAUCGGCGCCGCCCAGCCAUUCGUGGAUCUCGUACGCGCAGGCCAGUGCCGGGGACGCCACUGGCGUCCCCGGCGACGAGGCUGCGUGCAUGCGAGCACUAUCGAUAGCGACCACUGCCUCUGGCGCGGUGUUGUUUGCAGCAGCCCACGGAGGCGGGUCGUAGCCGUGGCAAAGGUCGGCCACCGCCGGCAAGAGGUCGUCCGCGUUGAAUGCCAUCUCUCUUUUCAAAAAAAAACAAGAGGUUUGCGAC